UCCCGGGUGAUCCAGUGGUUAAGAUUCUGCACUUCUAAUGCAGGGGUCAUGGGUUCCAUCCCUGGUU
rnacentral:tRNA from 1 species